rnacentral:rRNA from 1 species
GACGAACGCUGGCCGCGUGCUUAACACAUGCAAGUCGAACGGAAAGGCCCUGCUUUUGUGGGGUGCUCGAGUGGCGAACGGGUGAGUAACACGUGAGUAACCUGCCCUUGACUUUGGGAUAACUUCAGGAAACUGGGGCUAAUACCGGAUAGGAGCUCCUGCUGCAUGGUGGGGGUUGGAAAGUUUCGGCGGGUGGGGAUGGACUCGCGGCUUAUCAGCUUGUUGGUGGGGUAGUGGCUUACCAAGGCUUUGACGGGUAGCCGGCCUGAGAGGGUGACCGGCCACAUUGGGACUGAGAUACGGCCCAGACUCCUACGGGAGGCAGCAGUGGGGAAUAUUGCACAAUGGGCGGAAGCCUGAUGCAGCAACGCCGCGUGCGGGAUGACGGCCUUCGGGUUGUAAACCGCUUUCGCCUGUGACGAGGCGUGAGUGACGGUAGUGGGUAAAGAAGCACCGGCUAACUACGUG